rnacentral:rRNA from 1 species
GAUGAACGCUGGCGGCGUGCCUAAUACAUGCAAGUCGAGCGAACAGAUGAGGAGCUUGCUCCUCUGACGUUAGCGGCGGACGGGUGAGUAACACGUGGAUAACCUACCUAUAAGACUGGGAUAACUUCGGGAAACCGGAGCUAAUACCGGAUAAUAUAUUGAACCGCAUGGUUCAAUAGUGAAAGACGGUUUUGCUGUCACUUAUAGAUGGAUCCGCGCCGCAUUAGCUAGUUGGUAAGGUAACGGCUUACCAAGGCAACGAUGCGUAGCCGACCUGAGAGGGUGAUCGGCCACACUGGAACUGAGACACGGUCCAGACUCCUACGGGAGGCAGCAGUAGGGAAUCUUCCGCAAUGGGCGAAAGCCUGACGGAGCAACGCCGCGUGAGUGAUGAAGGUCUUCGGAUCGUAAAACUCUGUUAUUAGGGAAGAACAAAUGUGUAAGUAACGAUGCACGUCUUGACGGUACCUAUCAGAAAGCCACGGCUAACUACGUG